GCCUAGUUAGCUUAGUUGGUAGUGCGUCUGCCUUGUAAGCGCUAGGCCAUGGGUUCGAUUCCCGCUCGGGGCG
rfam:Asian citrus Psyllid, Diaphorina citri - Florida Strain, whole genome shotgun sequence.